AUACAAUUUUUUUAAUUAUAAUAUAUUAUAGAAUUCAAUAAAUCACAUGCACAUAAAAUGAUAAAUUUUUAAAAUAAAUAAACCACGCGUAGCGCGGUUAGAAUCUUUAGUAAGGAUUAAAAAGACAAUGAAAAAGUGAAUUGCAUGAAGACAUUAAUGUUGAGCAGAUACAUAUGUACCGAGUAUUAUUCUAUAUCACCAAAGUACUAUAUGAUUAUAACCCCACCUAAAAUUCCUAAAUAUUAAUCCAAACUCUAAUCUCUAGAUACAAAACCUUAUCCCAACUCCUAAAUAAUAAACCGUAAACUCUAAUUAAACCCUAAACUCAAAUAUAAAUCAUAAACCCAAAUAUAAACCCUAAACCCAAAUAUAAACCAUAAAUCUAAAUAUAAACCCUAAACCCAAAUAGAAUGGAAUAAAAUAAAAUAAGUAACAUAAUAAUAUUGGUGAAAUUAUAAAAUCUCUAUGAUUGCAUGGAAGAAGUUAAUGCUGGUCACAACUUUAUCACCUUCAAAAUACUAAACUCUAAACUCUAAUCACUAAAUCCUAACCCAAAUAUACAC
rnacentral:lncRNA from 1 species